rnacentral:piRNA from 1 species
UAUAACCCUAGGACUUUGGGAGGUGAAGC